UUAUUACAUAUAAAUUUGUACAGGUUUCCUAACCUAAUCCCAUUGUCACCGCCAAACUAGCUCUUGCACCUGAAAAUUGUUGUCCAUCGCCAUCUAAAGCUAAGUGUUGCUGCUCUUGUGGAUUAUCAAUCAUCUGUCAUAGUUUAUUCCUACUUUUACCCUUGUUAGCUCUCAAAAUUGAUAGAUUUUUCUGCUCUUGCUGUUCCAACUUUUUUAACAUCUCUUUGUGCAGAUGUAUUCUUUGAUGUAUAAGCUGAAGAUCUUCUUGAUUUGUUGUUUUAAAGGAAUAUUCAUGGCUAUUAUUUGAAAUCUGAGUAGUAAUUAAGCUCCUGAGAAGCUCGGAUCCACAUGUAAUCCAGGUUUUCCACACUCUAGCAUCUACGUUGACCUUCCUCCUUGGCUGGAUUUUUUCUAUUUUGACUUCAAGGAUAGAUCUAGAACAAUCAUUGCUCAGUUUGUCAAUUAUAUGUAUUAUGCUGUAGCUAUUUGCAAACCUUAAAUAGAUUUUCUCCGUUACUCUCUUAAAGCUCUUAUCCUAAUAUAUAGACAUUGUAAUUUAUCAUUA